rnacentral:tRNA from 1 species
ACUUAAGUAGUUUAAAAAAAAUAUAAGUUUGUGGAGCUUGAGAUGUAUAUUAUACCUUAAGUA